rnacentral:rRNA from 1 species
UACGUAGGGCGCAAGCGUUGUCCGGAAUUAUUGGGCGUAAAGAGCUCGUAGGCGGUUUGGCAAGUCGGGUGUGAAACCUCCAGGCUCAACCUGGAGUCGCCAUCCGAUACUGCUAUGACUUGAGUCUGGUAGGGGAUCACGGAAUUCCUGGUGUAGCGGUGAAAUGCAUAGAUAUCAGGAGGAACACGGUGGCGAAGGCGGUGAUCUGGGCCAGUACUGACGCUGAGGAGCGAAAGCGUGGGGAGCGAACGGG